rnacentral:lncRNA from 1 species
GGGUCUCAGAGUCCCAGAAUCCAGCCCUGCCCCCUUCCUCAUUACCCAGGUAUCCAGGAUAUUACCCCACAUCUUCCAAGCAGGUCGACAGGGUCAGAAUCAUUCUGUGAGCCCCUGUCAGGGGCAAGGACAAGUAAAUCUCCUUGCUGAAUUAGGCAGAGCGACUGCCUCCCUGCUCUGCCUCAGGCCCCACCUGCUGCCUGUCCCUCUCCACUGGGAAUGAUGGUGCCCCAAGUAGGAAACCUGGCCCCAGACCUGCCCUUUAUCUCCUAAGGCACUUCCUUCCUGGUCAGGGGCCUGACCCCCAAUGCCACUCCUUCCCCGGCUUUUCUGCCCAGGCUGGCAUCUGUCCUGCUGGAACCUCUGGCUGGAUUCUCCCCUUACCAGUCAGGCUGUAAGUGUUGCCGCAAGAUAGUUUAAAAAAAAGAGGAAAAUCAUGAUUCUCAUAUAGAUAAAAAAUGAACACACGUUAAAGACUGUGUUUAGGGGCCAGCCCCGUGGCCAAGCGGUUAAGUUCACAUGCUCCACUUUGGCAGCCCAGGGUUUCACCGGUUCAGAUCCUGGGCAUGGACAUCAUAGCACCACUCAUCAGACCACGCUGAGGUGGCGUCCCACAUAGCACAACCAGAAGGACCCACAACUAGAAUAUACAACUAUGUACCGGGGGACUCUGGGGAGAAGAAUAAGAAGAAGAAGAAGAAGAAAAAGAUUGGCAACAGACGUUGGCUCAGGGCCAAUCUUUAAAAAAAAAACAAAAGACAGUUAUAUAAAUGGAAACACAUACUAAGUGACCUUUUGAGAUUGGCCUUUUUUUCCCACUCAGCAUAAUACCCUUGAGACCCAUGCAAGUUGUUGCAUGUAUCAAUAGCUUGUUCCUUUUUUAUUGCUGAACAGUAUUUCAUAGUAUGGAUGUAGAACAGUUUGCUUAACUAUUCACCAUUUGAGCAAUAUUUGGUUGUUUUCAGUUUGGGGCUAUUACAAAUAAAUCUUCCACGAACAGCCAUUUACAGGUUUUGGUGCAGACAUAAGUUUUCAUUUUUCUAGAAUAAAUGCCCAGAAGUACAAUUGCUGGGUUGUAUAGAAGGUAUAUGUUUAGUUUUUAAAGAAACUGCUAAACUAUUUUCCAGAGUGUCUGCACCAUUCUCUAUUCCCACUAGCAAUGUAUGACAGAUCCAGUCUUAUCUACAUCCUCAUCAGGAUUGGAUAUUGUCACUACUUUUUAGUUCAGCUAUUCUAAUAGCUAUGUAGUGAUCUCUUACCAGGGUCUUAAUUUGCAUUUCCCUAAUGGUUAGUGAUGUUAAAUAUCUAUUCAAGUGCUUUAAAUCAACUCAUUUUUAAAGCCUAAACAAAUGUAUUUGAAAAGGCAACUUGAUUAGUGGUUCUCAAAGUAUGGUCCCUGAAUCAGCAGCAUCAGCAUUACCUGGGAACUCGCUAGAAAUGCAAUUCUCAGGCUUCACCCCAGAUCUACUGAAUCAGAAACUCUGGGGAGUGAGGCUCAGCAAUCUGUGGUUUAACAAGCCCUUCAGGGGAUCCUGAUAUACCAUAAGGGGAAAAUCAGUCUCAUUUGCUAUAAAUAGAAGGUAACUGUAAAAAUAAAUGCGUCUGUAUCCACUUCAAUCAUCUUGUGUACCAACAGGUUCACACACCACAUUUUGGGCAGAGUGCACUUGUUGCCCAGCUCUGGGGGCUCCAUUCACACAGAUUAUGAUGAGAACACCCCUCCCCUGGAGUUGUGCAGUUCACAGUCCACACAGCUUUGUGUGGCGGUUCUGACUUUCAGCCACUGAUCUAGUCCUACCUGCACCCCUUCUUGCCCUUAAUUUGACUAAGGAAAGUGAGGCUCUGAGGAGGGUAGAGACUUGUCCAAGGUCACCAGCAACAUAGUUAGACUCCUCUUCCAGUGCUCUCACCCCUGCUGGGAGCCAGGGCAGGGCCCACACAAUUCCUAACCUGUUCAGAGCCUGCCCCUAGUCACUGCUGAGUGACAAAUUAGAUUCCAAUACAGAACGUAGGAGAGGAUACCAUUUUAUGAAAUUUAUAUUUGUAAUCCCUAAAAGGAAAAAUUCUAUUCCUUUAUUCACUGAAUACUCUGACAUCAAAUGUAUGGGGUUUUUUUUUUAAAGAUUUU